rnacentral:rRNA from 1 species
ACGAAGGGGGCUAGCGUUGCUCGGAUUGACUGGGCGUAAAGGGCGCGUAGGCGGUUCGUACAGUCAGACGUGAAAUUCCUGGGCUCAACCUGGGGGCUGCGUUUGAUACGUGCGGACUUGAGUGCGGAAGAGGGUCGUGGAAUUCCCAGUGUAGAGGUGAAAUUCGUAGAUAUUGGGAAGAACACCGGUGGCGAAGGCGGCGACCUGGUCCGAUACUGACGCUGAGGCGCGAAAGCGUGGGGAGCAAACAGGA